GAUAAACGCUGGCGGCGUGCCUAAUACAUGCAAGUCGAGCGAACAGACGAGGAGCUUGCUCCUCUGACGUUAGCGGCGGACGGGUGAGUAACACGUGGAUAACCUACCUAUAAGACUGGGAUAACUUCGGGAAACCGGAGCUAAUACCGGAUAACAUGUUGAACCGCAUGGUUUAACAGUGAAAGACGGUCUUGCUGUCACUUAUAGAUGGAUCCGCGCCGCAUUAGCUAGUUGGUAAGGUAACGGCUUACCAAGGCAACGAUGCGUAGCCGACCUGAGAGGGUGAUCGGCCACACUGGAACUGAGACACGGUCCAGACUCCUACGGGAGGCAGCAGUAGGGAAUCUUCCGCAAUGGGCGAAAGCCUGACGGAGCAACGCCGCGUGAGUGAAGAAGGUCUUCGGAUCGUAAAACUCUGUUAUUAGGGAAGAACAAAUGUGUAAGUAACUAUGCACGUCUUGACGGUACCUAAUCAGAAAGCCACGGCUAACUACGUG
rnacentral:rRNA from 1 species